UACCCCGUCCCAUAUUAUGUCGCUUUGAGUUUUUAUUUGUAAUGUUUAUUCAUUCGUCUUAUUAAAAAGAUUUAAAAUUAUUAUUUAUUUUGUUUGUGAUUUGUUUUAUUAUCAAAAGUACUUUAAGUAUGACUUAUCAUUUUCAAUAUUUGCACUAAUUUUUCAAAUAAAAUGAAUGGUCAAAUGUUGCAAGCAAACAGUCAAAGCGACAAGUAAUAUGGGACAGAGGC
rnacentral:misc_RNA from 1 species